UCUUCAGUGAGGUAUAUCCUUACCUGUUGCUCCUUCAAUGGAGUUACAGAACAUAAUUGUUGUAAGUGUUUUACCGGAC
rnacentral:snoRNA from 1 species